CAAAUAAUUAGAUUCAAUACAUUACAACAAGGAAAACAUCUACAAAGAAAUUAUAUUCUAUAUGUACUAAAACCCAAGCUUCUGGUUACUAUUCUAGGGCAGUGUGCAGACCAAAAUGCCCCUCAAUUCGUUUGUUAAGCCAAUUUUUUGCCAUCUUUGCUACAGUAAAAUGGCUUCCAUCCUCUCCAGCUUCGAUUUCUUUGGUUUGAUUCUAUGUGCCUUUCGUCGAUCCGUGCUUUGGCUUUGAUUGUUCUAGAUGUCUUUCAUCGCUACCCUCCUUUGCCACGCGUUAGUCGUCGAUGAUUUCAGAAGAGGGUAUCCCUUCUUCGUGGACUACAGCUUUUCUCUUUUCUGGACUCUUCUUUCCAAUUCUAUCUCUGUCUCACAAACCUUCUCUCAAUCCUGGCCUUGCUCCCCCAUCUCGAGUUCUCUCUGUUUCUCGGCUUUUUCCAAAAAAUGGUUAAGUCAGUAAAAUUUGUUUAGAUCCUUUUGUCGGAGGCUGCAGACGACAACGCUCGCUUGCUAAAAAAUAGUCAGUUUGAUCUCGAUUUGCAGAAAAUUUGGAGCGGAUCACGUUUCCUGCUGUCGAUUUGGUGUGGGCUUUGAAUGUUAUUUGCUUGGGAGUGUAAAUUUGGAUUUAUAAACGGGUUUUUCAUUUAAAUUUUUUGGUUGUGAUUUUGGGAAUUUUGGCCUCAGAUUUAAUUUGGUUUUCUUUUUGGUUUCAGGAGAUCCGGUUUUUCGGGUUUCUGACAUUAAGCUGAAGUAACUAGAGUUGAGAAAUAACAAU